AUUGAACGCUGGCGGCAUGCCUUACACAUGCAAGUCGAACGGUAACAGGUUAAGCUGACGAGUGGCGAACGGGUGAGUAAUGUAUCGGAACGUGCCCAGUCGGGGGGGAUAACUACUCGAAAGAGUGGCUAAUACCGCAUACGACCUGAGGGUGAAAGCGGGGGCCCGUAAGGCCUCGCGCGAAUGGAGCGGCCGAUAUCAGGUUAGGUAGUUGGUGGGAUAAAAGCUUACCAAGCCGACGAUCUGUAGCUGGUCUGAGAGGACGAUCAGCCACACUGGGACUGAGACACGGCCCAGACUCCUACAGGAGGCAGCAGUGGGGAAUUCUGGACAAUGGGCGAAAGCCUGAUCCAGCCAUGCCGCGUGCAGGAUGAAGGCCUUCGGGUUGUAAACUGCUUUUGUACGGAACGAAAAGACUCUUUCUAAUAAAGAGGGUCCAUGACGGUACCGUAAGAAUAAGCACCGGCUAACUACGUGCCAGCAGCCGCGGUAAUAC
rnacentral:rRNA from 1 species